CUGACAUUCAUUAAUUAACUCUUCACAGUUAUUUUUGCAGCAUUCCUGAAGGUCUUGUGUUACGUAAUUCUAUAAAUAAUGCACUAGUUUAGUAGACCAAUGGAAAUCAAAAUUAUCCCUUUGUUCCCCCCACCCCUCCUUUCCAGUAUCUACUCCUAUAAUUUCUGUUUUUGCUUUAUUUGUUUAUAUGCAGCCACACUUCCACAUUCGUUUCUCUGGUGCUGUUGAAGACUGCAUAGGAUUUGCUAGAGUUAACACGGUAUCAUCUGCGUAGAGCUUUAUUUUUUGCUGUUUUAUUUAUCUGUAUCCCUUUAAUCUCUUGAUUCUCCGUUAUCUCAGCAGCUAGUGGCUCAAUGGCGGAAACAAAUAAUAAAGGGGACGGAGGAUGCGCUUGCCUUGUCCCUUGAAAUAAAUAUACUUGAUAGUAUGCCAUUCACAAAAACGUCUGCUUAAUAAUAAUAAUAAUAAUAAUAAUAAUAAUAAUAAUAAUAAAUUUUAUUUAUAUCCCGCCCUCCCCAGCCGAAGCCGGGCUCAGAGCGGCUAACAUCAAAUGUAUAACACAUUAACAUAAAAUCAGACAAUCAAUUAAAAUACAUCCUCAAAUCAGAUGAGGAUCAGAAUAAAAUCCAAUCAGAUGGCAACCCGCAGAUUAGGGUUGGGGACCUUAAAUGUUCACCAGGCCCAACUGUUUAUGCUGAACUUAUAUGGGCCUGUGAGAAAAAUUGGGAGGCCACUUUCAUGCAAGUUCUUAUGAAAGGGAAGAGGGAGUCAGACUGAACCCCGACCAAAGGCCUGGCAGAACAGCUCCGUCUUGCAGGCGCUGCGGAAAGAUGUCAAGUACCGCAGGGCCCUAGUCUCUUGUGACAGAGCGUUCCAACAGAUUGGAGCCACAGCCAAAAAAGCCCUGGCUCUGGUUGAGGCCAGCCUAACCUCUCUGUGGCCUGGGACCUUCAGGAUGUUUUUAUUUGAAGACCGUGUGGCAGUGGAGGUGUCUUACCCCAGUAAUGGACUGGAUGAGAGCCAGCAAACUGAUGUUCCAUCCUGAUAAGACUGUCAGUGGGUAGUUCCCUAGGCUGGAUGGGAGUUUGCCUACUCUUGAUGAGGUUACACUCCCUCUGAAGAAGCAGCAGGUCCCUCCACAAAGAUGUGAAGCUGGAGUUGGGUGCCCCUUGUCAAAGCCUUUUCCAAAAUGCCCAGCUGCAGGUUUUUACUAUUCUCAACAAGGAAGGAAAUGGAGGACCCUGCUGUGGAAAUGGCUUAACUUGUCAGACUGAACCUGCUCCUGGAGAUCCCAGCCAUUGACCAUCAAGCUUGCUCCUAUCUGGAUGAUCCUGAAUUUUUACCUGCAUAAUUCUCAUCUUUGUCACGAUAGAGUGUUGGGAUGCUGAGAACUGGUUUCUAAGUCAUACAAUUUUUUGAACAAUAUGUAUUAAAUGUCUGUGUAUGCUACUCAUUUUUCUGAAAGCCUUUGUCUGAAUGAGUGGGAAAGGAUGGGUGCAUUAUGUUUUAGAAGGAAGAGAAAGCAAUAUACCAAGAGCUUCUUUUCCUACUAAUGCAUCAUCCAAACUAAGGUGGCCUGGGCAAUAACACAGUUUCAGUUUGUGCAAUGGCCAUUUACUUCAAUUAAGCUUCCACAGAACACUUUCUAGUGACCUGUUCUUACUUUGUUUGAAUUUGGGCCUGAAUAAAAUAUGAAAAUGGUAUUAAAUGCCUACGUAUUUCAGGAACCUGAAGCCAGAUAUCUCUUGUAUGGCAGACGUUUGCUUGACUAUCUCACUCAUAUAUAACCAAAGGGCAGGUGCAUUUACAAUUGUAAUUUGCUGUUCAUAUUAGAAAGUGCUCUGUACCAUAGAGAAAACAAAUCUAGUUUACUUCAAAAAUUACCUGGCUGGAGAAAA